rnacentral:sRNA from 1 species
AAAUAGGUGGUAAGCCGAGAUGAACUUACGGU